AUUGAACGCUGGCGGCAGGCCUAACACAUGCAAGUCGAGCGCGCGGCGGACGGGGGAGUAAUGUAUGGGGACUGCCCGAUAGAGGGGGGGAACUACUGGAAACGGUAGCUCAUACCGCAUACUACCGCAGAACCCAUAGGUGAUUAGCUAGUAGGUGGGGUAAUGGCGCACCUAGGCGACGAUCCCUAGCUGGUCUGUGAGGAUGAUCAGCCACACUGGAACUGAGACACGGCCCAGACUCCUACGGAGGCAGCAGUGGGGAAUAUUGCACAAGGGGCGCAAGCCUGAUGCAGCCAUGCCGCGUGUAUGAAGAAGGCCCUAGGGUUGUAAAGUACUUUCAGCCGGGAGGCGUUACCGACAGAAGAAGCACCGGCUAACUCCGUGCCAGCAGCCGCGGUAAUAC
rnacentral:rRNA from 1 species